GCACCUGGGGCUCGACUCCUCCAUUAUCUCCCCCUUUUCCCUUUGCUGCAUAACAACAGUAGCGCCGCCAUUACUGCCGUGAGAGAGCGAUAGUGGGCCUUCGCCGAGACUAUGAGCCACACGGAACAAGUUGGUCAGGGGUCUGCACCAAGCUAGUGCGAAACCAACCGCGGUAGUUGCUGGCGGAAUCGAUGGCUGGCCAACCCUUAAUUGCUCGUCGGAGCCACAAAACCACCACGGAUCCGCCUGGCACCGCGGCCAACCUCAACAGAGCGCCAAUCCUUGACUGCGCACAGAUUUCUGGGAAGUGCAGGGGGCAAAACCGAAGGUUUCCCAAGACACAGACCACUGGCGCUUGGAGUGCGGGUUUAUUCCUAAGAAACCCAGGGACUCCUUAGUAAGAUUGCCGGGCCGAAUGGGUACGGUUGAUUUUCGGCCAUCCAGAUCAGAUCCAGAGGCCAGGAAUGGAUCACAGCCCCGGCAAAUAGACAAGCGAGCGUGACCGCUUGAUCAACGAUCGACGGGCUCGAUCUAAUCUACCCCGAUUGAAUCCAAUGCACCCGCUCCCAAUCGGGCGGCUCCCAAUAUGGCGCAACAGCCCUUGCCGGAUUCCACGGCGGAGACGAGGAACAAGGCCAUCCGAUAGGUGGACCCACAUUGUUCAGUGGGCACUCGCAUGGUGAACGGUGACAGGUGGGACCACGGAACUGGUGAGAUAGCUGCGACUGACGCGUGGUUGGGCGACUAGUUGGUGGCCCCCAGUUUACAAAGGGUGGACGAUGUACGAGUUGGCGUGGUGUGACUGCCCCGUGGGCCCGAGGUGUCAACGCUGAUCUCCUGGUGAUGGGCUCGCGCAGUGUAAUUCUUUGUUGGGCUGAGAAACCAGGGUUGGGCCCAUGCGGGGUUUUCUUUUUUUCUUUCCCUUUUUCUUUUCUCUUCUAUUUUCUUUUAUCUUUUCUUUCUUUCCAAAUUUCGAACUUCAAUUUCAAUUUAAACUUUGUGGCACAUUUGUACUCAGACUAAAUGUUUCAUUUGAUCAUACUAAAUUGUGAUGAAGUUAUUCAUUUUUACA